UGAGCCUUGAUGUGUAGGAUAGGUGGGAGGCUUUGAAGCGUGGACGCCAGUCUGCGUGGAGCCGACCUUGAAAUACCACCCUUUAAUGUUUGAUGUUCUAACGUGGACCCGUAAUCCGGGUUGCGGACAGUGUCUGGUGGGUAGUUUGACUGGGGCGGUCUCCUCCUAAAGAGUAACGGAGGAGCACGAAGGUUGGCUAAUCCUGGUCGGACAUCAGGAGGUUAGUGCAAUGGCAUAAGCCAGCUUGACUGCGAGCGUGACGGCGCGAGCAGGUGCGAAAGCAGGUCAUAGUGAUCCGGUGGUUCUGAAUGGAAGGGCCAUCGCUCAACGGAUAAAAGGUACUCCGGGGAUAACAGGCUGAUACCGCCCAAGAGUUCAUAUCGACGGCGGUGUUUGGCACCUCGAUGUCGGCUCAUCACAUCCUGGGGCUGAAGUAGGUCCCAAGGGUAUGGCUGUUCGCCAUUUAAAGUGGUACGCGAGCUGGGUUUAGAACGUCGUGAGACAGUUCGGUCCCUAUCUGCCGUGGGCGCUGGAGAACUGAGGGGGGCUGCUCCUAGUACGAGAGGACCGGAGUGGACGCAUCACUGGUGUUCGGGUUGUCAUGCCAAUGGCACUGCCCGGUAGCUAAAUGCGGAAGAGAUAAGUGCUGAAAGCAUCUAAGCACGAAACUUGCCCCGA
rnacentral:rRNA from 1 species